rnacentral:rRNA from 1 species
GACGAACGCUGGCGGCGUGCCUAAUACAUGCAAGUCGAACGAGCGGCAGACGGGUGAGUAAUGUAGGGGUAUCUGCCCGAUAGAGGGGGAUAACUACUGGAAACGGUGUCUAAUACCGCAUUCUAUCGGAAGACCCCAUAUGGGAUUAGCUUGUAGGUGGGGGAAAGGGUCACCUACGCGACGCUCUUUAGCUGGUCUGAGAGGAUGAUCAGACACACUGGGACUGAGACACGGCCCAGAGUCCUACGAUAGGCAGCAGUGGGGAAUAUAGCACAAUGGGCGCAAGCCUGAUGCAGCCAUGCCGCGUGGAUGAAGAAGGCCUUAGGGUGGUAAAGUACUUUCAGCGGGGAGGCGUUAACCACAGAAGAAGCAACGGCUAACUCCGUGACAGCAGCCGCGGUAAUUC